rnacentral:rRNA from 1 species
AAAAAGAACCUGAAACCGUGUACGUACAAGCAGUGGGAGCACAGGUUUACCUGUGUGACUGCGUACCUUUUGUAUAAUGGGUCAGCGACUUAUAUUCUGUAGCAAGGUUAACCGAAUAGGGGAGCCGGAGGGAAACCGAGUCUUAACCGGGCGUUAAGUUGCAGGGUAUAGACCCGAAACCCGGUGAUCUAGCCAUGGGCAGGUUGAAGGUUGGGUAACACUAACUGGAGGACCGAACCGACUAAUGUUGAAAAA